UGGCUGAACGCCUCUAAGUCA
rnacentral:misc_RNA from 1 species